GUGAGUAGUUCAGAGUUUGAUCCUGGCUCAGGACGAACGCUGGCGGCGUGCCUAACACAUGCAAGUCGAGCGGGGACUUGUGGAAUGAAGCUUCGGCAGAAUGAACAAGUUCUAGCGGCGGACGGGUGAGUAACGCGUGAGCAACCUGCCUAUCACUGGGGAAUAACGCAUCGAAAGGUGUGCUAAUACCGCAUGAGACCACAUGAUCGCAUGGUCGAGGGGUCAAAGAUUUAUCGGUGAUAGAUGGGCUCGCGUCUGAUUAGCUAGUUGGUGAGGUAACGGCCCACCAAGGCGACGAUCAGUAGCCGACCUGAGAGGGUGAUCGGCCACAUUGGAACUGAGAAACGGUCCAA
rnacentral:rRNA from 1 species